AGAGUUUGAUCCUGGCUCAGAACGAACGCUGGCGGCGUGCCUAACACAUGCAAGUCGCGCGGGAAAGUUCCCUUCGGGGAGCGAGUAUAGCGGCGCACGGGUGAGUAAUACGUAGGUAACCUGCCCUCGAGACUGGGACAACCUGUCGAAAGACGGGCUAAUACCAGAUAAGACCACGAGAGCUGCGGCUCUUGGGGUAAAAGGUGGCCUCUGCUUGCAAGCUAUCACUUGAGGAUGGGCCUGCGCGCCAUUAGCUAGUUGGUGAGGUAACGGCUCACCAAGGCUGAGAUGGCUAGCUGGUCUGAGAGGAUGACCAGCCACACUGGGACUGAGACACGGCCCAGACUCCUACGGGAGGCAGCAGUGGGGAAUCUUGGACAAUGGGCGCAAGCCUGAUCCAGCCAUGCCGCGUGGAUGAUGAAGGCCUUAGGGUUGUAAAAUCCUUUCGUUGGGGACGAUAAUGACAGUACCCAGAGAAUAGC
rnacentral:rRNA from 1 species